rnacentral:rRNA from 1 species
GCAGUAGCCGCGGGAAUACAGAGGGUGCGAGCGUUAAUCGGAUUUACUGGGCGUAAAGCGUGCGUAGGCGGCUUCUUAAGUCGGAUGUGAAAUCCCUGAGCUUAACUUAGGAAUUGCAUUCGAUACUGGGAAGCUAGAGUAUGGGAGAGGAUGGUAGAAUUCCAGGUGUAGCGGUGAAAUGCGUAGAGAUCUGGAGGAAUACCGAUGGCGAAGGCAGCCAUCUGGCCUAAUACUGACGCUGAGGUACGAAAGCAUGGGGAGCAAACAGGAUUAGAUACCCCUGUAGUCCCUGUCUCUUAUAU